AAAGCCCAUACACUCGGAGGGUAUGAAAAAACUGGCGGCGGCUUACACAUGCAGUCGAGCGCCCCGCAGGGGAGCGGCAGACGGGUGAGUAACGCGUGGGAAUCUACCCUUUUCUACGGAAUAACGCAGGGAAACUUGUGCUAAUACCGUAUGAGCCCUUCGGGGGAAAGAUUUAUCGGGAAAGGAUGAGCCCGCGUUGGAUUAGCUAGUUGGUUGGGUAAAGGCCUACCAAGGCGACGAUCCAUAGCUGGUCUGAGAGGAUGAUCAGCCACAUUGGGACUGAGACACGGCCCAAACUCCUACGGGAGGCAGCAGUGGGGAAUAUUGGACAAUGGGCGCAAGCCUGAUCCAGCCAUGCCGCGUGAGUGAUGAAGGCCCUAGGGUUGUAAAGCUCUUUCACCGGUGAAGAUAAUGACGGUAACCGGAGAAGAAGCCCCGGCUAACUUCGUGCCAGCAGCCGCGGUAAUACGAAGGGGGCUAGCGUUGUUCGGAAUUACUGGGCGUAAAGCGCACGUAGGCGGAUUGUUAAGUGAGGGGUGAAAUCCCAGGGCUCAACCCUGGAACUGCCUUUCAUACUGGCAAUCUAGAGUCCAGAAGAGGUGAGUGGAAUUCCGAGUGUAGAGGUGAAAUUCGUAGAUAUUCGGAGGAACACCAGUGGCGAAGGCGGCUCACUGGUCUGGAACUGACGCUGAGGUGCGAAAGCGUGGGGAGCAAACAGGAUUAGAUACCCUGGUAGUCCACGCCGUAGCGAUGAGUGUUAGCCGUCGGGCAGUUUACUGUUCGGUGGCGCAGCUAGCGCAUUAACAUUCCGCCUGGGG
rnacentral:rRNA from 1 species